rnacentral:rRNA from 1 species
AUUGAACGCUGGCGGCAUGCCUUACACAUGCAAGUCGAACGGUAACAGGUUAAGCUGACGAGUGGCGAACGGGCGAGUAAUGUAUCGGAACGUGCCCAGUCGCGGGGGAUAACUGCUCGAAAGAGCAGCUAAUACCGCAUACGACCUGAGGGUGAAAGCGGGGGAUCGCAAGACCUCGCGCGAUUGGAGCGGCCGAUAUCAGAUUAGGUAGUUGGUGAGGUAAAGGCUCACCAAGCCGACGAACUGUAGCUGGUCUGAGAGGACGACCAGCCACACUGGGACUGAGACACGGCCCAGACUCCUACGGGAGGCAGCAGUGGGGAAUUUUGGACAAUGGGCGCAAGCCUGAUCCAGCCAUGCCGCGUGCGGGAAGAAGGCCUUCGGGUUGUAAACCGCUUUUAUCGGGGAAGAAAAGGUUCUGGCUAAUACCUGGGACUCAUGACGGUACCUGAAGAAUAAGCACCGGCUAACUACGUG